rnacentral:rRNA from 1 species
CAUCCGAUGUGAAUUGCAGGACACACUGAGCACAUGAUUCUUCGAACGCACAUUGCGCCCUUGGGUCUUCCCUUGGGUUCGUCUGUCUGAGGGUCGGA